rnacentral:rRNA from 1 species
UGCCAAGGCUAAAUACUCCCUGGCGACCGAUAGUGAAGCAGUACCGUGAGGGAAAGGUGAAAAGCACCCCGGAAGGGGAGUGAAAUAGAUCCUGAAACCGUGUGCUUACAAGAAGUCAGAGCCCUAUUUAUGGGUGAUGGCGUGCCUUUUGUAGAAUGAACCGGCGAGUUACGUUCCCGUGCAAGGUUAAGGUGAAGAGCUGAAGCCGCAGCGAAAGCGAGUCUGAAUAGGGCGAUCUUUAGUACGUGGACGUAGCUUGAUAUUGAAUUUGGGUACGAUCUGUACAGGAUAGGUGGGAGCCGUAGAACUUUGAGCGCCAGCUUGAAGGGAGGCAUCCUUGGGAUACCACCCUGAUCGUAUCUAGGUUCUAACUUGGUACCGUGAACCGGUGCGAGGACAGUGUCAGGUGGGCAGUUUGACUGGGGCGGUCGCCUCCUAAAGAGUAACGGAGGC